rfam:Triticum aestivum genome assembly, contig: Triticum_aestivum_CS42_TGACv1_scaffold_362027_4DS
CAAAUACUCCCUCCGUCCGGAAAUACUUGUCAUCAAAAUGAAUAAAAGAGGAUGUAUCUAGAUGUAUUUUAGUUCUAGAUACAUUCCUGUUUGUCCAUUUUGAUGACAACUAUUUUCGGACGGAGGGAGUAACUU